rfam:Botryobasidium botryosum FD-172 SS1 unplaced genomic scaffold BOTBOscaffold_1, whole genome shotgun sequence.
GGUCGCCUGGCGAAAUGGUAUCGCGUCUGACUACGAGUUUCUAGCUAGAAAUGGAGAUCAGGAGAUUGCAGGUUCGAGCCCUGCGGUGAUCA